rnacentral:tRNA from 1 species
GCCCAGUUGCGGAAUUGGUAGACGCACUUGGUUUAGGUCCAAGCGCUGAGAGGCGUGUGGGUUCGAGUGCCUCACGGGGGCACCA